UACAGAGGUCUCAAGCGUUGUUCGGAUUCAUUGGGCGUAAAGCGCGCGCAGGCGGGAAGGUAAGUCUGGAGUGAAAUUCCGGGGCUCAACUCCGGAGCUGCUUUGGAUACUGUCUUUCUAGGGACCGGUAGAGGCCGGUGGAAUUCCCGGUGCAGCGGUGGAAUGCGUAGAGAUCGGGAAGAACACCCGUGGCGAAGGCGGCCGGCUGGGCCGGAUCCGACGCUGAGGCGCGAAAGCGUGGGGAGCAAACAGG
rnacentral:rRNA from 1 species